UUCUAUGAUUAGGAGCUCCUUGUCACACCUCUUUUGCCACAAAAUUGAUCCCCUGUUAUGAUGUAAUGAAGUAUAGGACCCUAUGCCAUUUAAUCAGGGACUUUCUUUGUCCUAAGAUGGUAAUGCUUCAGAGGCACUGCAGCAGGCAAAGAAGAUAAACUCCUAUCUGAGGUUUAUGGGUGGUGAAGGGAAACAAUUUCUUAAGCCCAUACAUAGUUUAUAGCCAUGCUACCAUGUACACUCUCUUCUCGGACCCAUUGUGGAAAAACCGGAGUUGAUGAGAAGAGAGGCUGGUGGACAUCUGCUAGGAAGAUAACCCUGUCUGCCUUGCUGUUAAGAGUCUCCAACGUUGCUCUCUAACUCUGUGAUAUUUUGCACAAGGUUGGUAACCCUGAAGAUUUUCUUUCACUGCAAAACAAAGUGUCAUUCUUCUGAAGAUGUUUCAUAUAUCCUCAUUUUUAAAUGUUGUUUAGAAGAGGAAGGAAUGCUGUGGUUUAAGUGAUCUGGACAGGAGACGGAAAUACUGGGUAGAGGAGGGCAGUUCCCUGGCAAAGCCUCACCCUCAAGCCUGGAUACCUGCUGUCCUAAAUGAAAACAGGCAUUUCUGUGUUCAUGCUCCAAAAGUUGUCUUUUGGCCCGCCACACCCCCUGUCCUGCACCCAUAUGAAUUCUGAACCCCAGACUCCAGAAGCAGACCAGCAAGCCUGCAGACCAGCAGAAGGACGGUGGAACGAUGUGGCAGAGAAAGGGAGAAGAGGAGGAACAUCUGAAUGCCGAGAGGAGUUCAGCUGGGGGCAGUCAGAGAGGAGUCCAGCCACUGGGCAGCCGGAAUCCAGGGGAGGAUCAUCUUUCCACUCCAUCCCCCUCCUCCGCCUGCCCAUCCAUCCUGCUGAAAGCCACCUCCACCACUCAAUAAAACCUGCCAUUCAUCCUUGGA